AAACAGACUGAACAGAUAAACUCUUUGUGUCCUUUAAGACAAACUCAUGCAGUGUACCUAGCAAUAUUACCUGUAGUUGUAACGUUCAAAGUGGGACAACAACAGGUGCUCAGAGAAGAUUUUUCCAAUCUAAUUUACUCUCACAUGUGCUAAUCCCUCCCAUUUACUAACAGUAUUUAAAAAAAGAUGACUAAAAUGAUGCAGCUUUGUCCCUGUAAAACAAGUCAGCUCCAACUGAGAAAUCCUCAGGUCUUUUAAUGAAUAAAUUCAUAUAUUUUGUAUUGUUUUGGAUUUUAUAGGACGACGGUUUGUUUUCAUACCUCAAUUCCAUUCUUCAGCCCAUGAACUUCAAAAGAGGAGAGGAAAAAUGCAGUUCCAACUGUUCAGGUUUUGGAGAAGGUUUUGCUGACCCUGUAGGAUAUGAAAGGCCAAUAAACUGUUGUGCCAGAUGUGUUCUGUUUUCAUGGGGAGCAGAUGAUACAUCUGAAUGAGAUAAUUAAUAUUGCACAUAUCACCAGUUGCUACUGAGGUAUUCCAUUGUACCAUUGCCUCUAUUAUGCCUAUGAACUUCACAAGAGAGUGAAUACAGGAGACUGGAUGCCUUCUGAAUGUUUAGUUGAAAAUUAUUUCAGAUGAAAAUCUGGAAGUACUCCACUGAUUCCUAAGAGCAGCAAAUUAUACCUUCCUGACACAUGAAUGUGAUUCCUAUUGAUACAUCUGGAUGCAAGUCCCUUUAAUAUCUGAGAACUGGGAUUGUUGUUACAGGUGGACUGAAAUAAGGGGAUGUCUUUGCACCAGUUUGCAAGCUUCUCUGAACCUCUCUUCAGCCAAGGUCUUAAUUAAGUGUUUAGCUUUAAGCUGGCUGAAGUCCAUUACUUUAAAUUCAGCUUUCUGGAUGAGAGUUUUUGUGUGUGCUGUUCACUGUAGAGGAAAAGGAUGGUAUUAUUACCCUGAUCUGAUCUCUGAGCAAAGUAGUUCUCCUAUCCACAUUCCCUGGGGAAAAAAAUAAAUUCCCUCCCUGAACUAGAUUAAUCUCAAGGAAAGUGCAUAGAUUAUUUUUGCCAUCAGAUUUUAUCUCUGACCUUGGGCAAGUCACUUAAACCAUCUGCACCUCCACUCUCAGCAUAUGCUUUUAAGCUUACACCUCUUCCAUUUUACGUGAUAUUAAUUUUGGCUGGAAACUAAACUGCCUCCUGUUACGUGCUUGCAUCAUAUAAGUACUGUAGACUAUGGACAUCGCUGUAAUAUAAAGAAGAAUAACAGAAGGAUGGAAGAGACAUAAACCCAGAGGUUGUUGGAGAACUUUAAAGAAUAAAAGUCCACCUAUGAAGACAACCACAAGGAUGGAAGAUAAAAGCCCUAGCUUAUGCUCCAUUUCAAGGACCUCACUCUUGUGAUGGAUGCCGUUCCUGUCUCAGAAGGCUUACGUGAUCAGUUGGUCAAGGGCAAGGUUAAUAGCAUAGGCACACUCUAGGUAUUAUUACUUAGCUUCUUUUCUGAAGGAAAAAUUAUGUAUGCCAAGAGAUUUCCUUCCCUGCAUUAAUCCCCUCACAAAACCAUUAGACACUGCUGGCAAGUUUUAACCACUUCAGACAAAAAUUUGAGGAUCAGAAGGAUAAUUAAGUUUCUACAAAUUCCAUGACAAUCAGUGGGUUUGGAAAAGCAAGAGACCCUUACUGUUUUAUCCUCAGUGAAAAAAUAACCAGGUAGAGUAUUUGUCCUCUUUGGCCUGCCACUUCAUCAUUCACUACACACACAUUGUUUAGCCAGUUAGCAUAGGUGCGUAGUUUUGAAACACCUACAGCAAUGCAACAUCAUGCCAGCUUGCAAUCAGGCAAAGGAUACACGGUGUAUGAAAGGAACAUGGCAAAGGACUAGGAAGAAGUGUGGGGCAUGCUUGAGCUAUUGCUGUCAUGUCUGGAGAAUAAGACUAAUGAGUAUCAAGGAGAGAGUACACAUUUGGUAUGGAAGCAAUCUGACACCAUUAACUCUGGUAAAUGGUGUUUUUGCUGCCAGAAUGUGGAACUUAAUGUGCAAAUCCACAGGGAAAGGUGGCUACUUGUCUUGGAACAACGUAUUUGUUACCUUUGAAAGCCUGGUACCUUUUUGUUCCACAACUGAAUGGAGCACUUCUUGGUGCAUCCAAACUGGUGUAGUCAUUAUAGUCUCCAUGAACCUGCCUCAGAAGGUUGUAAUCUUGAUGAGUCUUCUUUCUCCACCCUAAUUCCAGUUUCCGCUUCUUUGCUGAGAAAGGUAACAGCUUUCCUGACAGGUUUGAUGUGGUUUUUGUAGUCAGCAAGAAUAAGUUCACCAUGGGCAAACUUUUUUUAAAAUAGGACAACAAGAAAUCUUAGCUCUAGUCUAGAUAUGAAAAAUAGGGCAGGGCAAGUGGAGCAAGAUACCACAUACAUUUUUCACAUGCACAUCUGGUGGCACAAGGAAUGUCCCUAAAAAGACUGUGGUGACUCUGAAGUCCCUCUGGUUUGAACUGUGAAGCAACUGCAUUACUUCCAACAUCUCUGAAAUCUUCCCCAAAUUCAGUAGAUGCUUGACAUGGGUCCUCAGAUGCCAUUAUCUAGCAAAGAGAGAGGUUAAUUUCAGGUGCAAUAAGUUAUAUGCCUUGAAAAAUGGAAGGUGUCUAAAAAAUAACAGGAUAUUUCUGGAACUGUUGGAUAUUAUGUAAUGGGAGCAUUGCCUAGCACUUGCUGUGAUUCCUUGUCCUCUGGACACAGCUGGGGGGUUGCAAAGCUGUCUGAAUAUCUCUGAGAAAUACCAUAGAAAACACUGUCUAAAUGACAUUUGUGGCUUACGGAUGGAGUACAGAGAAGAAAUUCCAGUUUUAUCCUAAAGUAACAAAUUCAAAAAAAUUUUACUCUGCUACCUAAAAUUAAAAUUUUGAAGAGGUAAAUAAAAAUACUGAAUGUACUUAGGAGUCUCUAGCUGUUUUACUUUUUUAUCAAAAGACUGUUCAAUCUGCUUUCCUGAGUACAGUAGUCUCCCCUCUCUUGGCUCAUCUUUCACCAAUAUGAGUAAUGUAUUGGGCACAUGGAAAUGUAUGUCCAGAUUUUGGCUGGGAUAGAGUUCACUUUCUUCCUAGCAGCUGGUGUAGCACUGUGUUUUGGAUUUAGUAUGAGAACAAUGUUGGUAACAUACUGAUGUUUUAGUUGUUGCUAAACAGUCAAGGACUUUUUGGCUCCUCAUGCCACCCCACCAGAGAGUAGGCUGGGGGUGCACAAGAGGUUGGGAGGAAGCACAGCCGGGACAGUUGACCCCAACUGACCAAAGUGAUAUUCUUUACCGUGUAACAUCAUGCUCAUUAUAUAAAGCUGAGGGAAGAAGAAGGAAGGGGGGGACAUUUGGGGUUAUGACAUUUGUCUUCCCAAGUAAUGGCUACAUGUGAUGGGAAGUCUGCCUGUCCAUGGGAAGUAGUGAAUGAAUUCCUUGUUUUGCUUUGCUUCUGAGCACGGCUUCUGCUCUAUCUAUUAAACUGUCUUUAUCUCAACCCAUGAGUUUUCUCACUCUCACCCUUCUGAUUAUCUCCUCCCUCCCACCCAGAGGGCAUUGAGAGAGUUAGUGAGUGGGGCUUAGUUGCUGUCUGGGUUAAACCACAACAGUGUAUUGAAUAAUUUGCAUUUCUUAUGGGCAACAGCGAAGGUUGUAGGCAUUUCAAUUGUAUGAACAAACUUCUGCUACAUGGAACUAAACCCAUUUUCUUUUGCUUUCUGUGAUUUCACCCAAGAAAACAAUAAGAAAGCACUGUUUGUGUUCAGCCUAUUGAGUUCUGAUCAUGCCUAAAAAUUAAUAAUAAUCCUAACAGCAAAAAGUCCUUCUGCCAGAUACAUAAAUCAUCAAAAAAUGAGCCUUCUCCUUCACUGCACUUGAUCUAUGUCCAGUAGCAGAGUGAUCGAGGUAAGUAAGCAAAUACAUGCUUUCUAUCAGUCUGUUUAGAUGAGAUUUGUAAGACAAUUGUCAUGGGCAAGUCUGGUAUAAAUUAACAGGUAAUUUAAUUUGACCUUUUAAAAACGCAAACACUGCCUUAAAUAUCUCACAUAAACUGCUUGAUUUAAUAAAUGUGAUUUUCUUCAUUUA